GACGAACGCUGGCGGCGUGCCUAAUUCAUGCAAGUUGAGCGCUGAAGGUUGGUACUUGUACCAACUGGAUGAGCAGCGAACGGGUGAGUAACGCGUGGGGAAUCUGCCUUUGAGCGGGGGACAACAUUUGGAAACGAAUGCUAAUACCGCAUAAAAACUUUAAACACAAGUUUUAAGUUUGAAAGAUGCAAUUGCAUCACUCAAAGAUGAUCCCGCGUUGUAUUAGCUAGUUGGUGAGGUAAAGGCUCACCAAGGCGAUGAUACAUAGCCGACCUGAGAGGGUGAUCGGCCACAUUGGGACUGAGACACGGCCCAAACUCCUACGGGAGGCAGCAGUAGGGAAUCUUCGGCAAUGGACGAAAGUCUGACCGAGCAACGCCGCGUGAGUGAAGAAGGUUUUCGGAUCGUAAAACUCUGUUGGUAGAGAAGAACGUUGGUGAGAGUGGAAAGCUCAUCAAGUGACGGUAACUACCCAGAAAGGGACGGCUAACUACGUG
rnacentral:rRNA from 1 species